rnacentral:rRNA from 1 species
GACGAACGCUGGCGGCGUGCCUAAUACAUGCAAGUUGAGCGCUGAAGGUUGGUACUUGUACCAACUGGAUGAGCAGCGAACGGGUGAGUAACGCGUGGGGAAUCUGCCUUUGAGCGGGGGACAACAUUUGGAAACGAAUGCUAAUACCGCAUAAAAACUUUAAACACAAGUUUUAAGUUUGAAAGAUGCAAUUGCAUCACUCAAAGAUGAUCCCGCGUUGUAUUAGCUAGUUGGUGAGGUAAAGGCUCACCAAGGCGAUGAUACAUAGCCGACCUGAGAGGGUGAUCGGCCACAUUGGGACUGAGACACGGCCCAAACUCCUACGGGAGGCAGCAGUAGGGAAUCUUCGGCAAUGGACGAAGGUCUGACCGAGCAACGCCGCGGGAGUGAAGAAGGUUUUCGGAUCGUAAAACUCUGUUGGUAGAGAAGAACGUUGGUGAGAGUGGAAAGCUCAUCAAGUGACGGUAACUACCCAGAAAGGGACGGCUAACUACGUG